CCUAACGUCAUCUGGUCACCAUUUCCUUGCAACCAUUAUUCUUCAACAAGAAAAGGACUUUACAACCUCUCGGCAUUCUUCGUCCACGCGGCAUCGCUCCGUCAGGCUUGCGCCCAUUGCGGAAGAUUCUUAG
rnacentral:rRNA from 1 species